rnacentral:ncRNA from 2 species
CUCUUAUCCUGAGAUGGCGGAGGGACAGGCCCAAAGAAGCCCAGCAACCAUCACCGUGUUGACAAGGUGAACGGUGCUAACCUGCAGGACAUGUAUUUUGCGUGUCUUGACCGAUAAGAG